rnacentral:rRNA from 1 species
AUUGAACGCUGGCGGCAGGCCUAACACAUGCAAGUCGAGCGGGGUUUUCGGACCUAGCGGCGGACGGGUGAGUAAUGCGUAGGAAGCUACCCGAUAGAGGGGGAUACCAGUUGGAAACGACUGUUAAUACCGCAUAAUGUCUACGGACCAAAGUGUGGGACCUUCGGGCCACAUGCUAUCGGAUGCGCCUACGUGGGAUUAGCUAGUUGGUGAGGUAAUGGCUCACCAAGGCGACGAUCCCUAGCUGGUUUGAGAGGAUGAUCAGCCACACUGGAACUGAGACACGGCCCAGACUCCUACGGGAGGGAGCAGUGGGGAAUAUUGGAGAAUGGGCGCAAGCCUGAUCCGGCCAUGCCGCGUGUGUGAAGAAGGCAUUCGGGUUGUAAAGCACUUUCAGUAGGGAGGAAGCGUUGUGUGUUAAUAGUACACAGCGUUGACGUUACCUACAGAAGAAGCACCGGCUAACUCUGUGCCAGCCGCCGCAGUAAAAC